rnacentral:rRNA from 1 species
UACGUAGGGUGCAAGCGUUGUCCGGAAUUAUUGGGCGUAAAGGGCGCGUAGGCGGCUUGGCAAGUGGAAGGUGAAAUCCCUCGGCUUAACCGAGGAACUGCCCUCCAAACUGCUUUGCUUGAGGCCGGGAGAGGUGAGUGGAAUUCCCAGUGUAGCGGUGAAAUGCGUAGAGAUCGGGAGGAACACCAGAGGCGAAGGCGGCGACCUGGACAGUUACUGACACUCAACUACGAAAGCGUGGGGAGCAAACAGG